CCUUGGUGUCACAAAGUCCCUUGGAUCCUUGGGCCCUGCAGUGUCACAGUGGCGCCGUGGUCCUCCAAGUCCCUGCAAUGUCCCAAUGGAUCCUUGGUUCCCUGAGGUCUGGCAGUGCAGCAAUGCUCUCCUUGGUUCCCACAGUCUUUUGUACCUCUUACUUUCAGACAAUAGAAGAACACCUGGUAGAUGAUGGGGAGUGGGAGGAGAUAUCUACUCGAGGAGGUAAUAAUAAAAAUUCCUCCUGACCCCCACUCCCAAGCCAGGUGCCACUUCAGAACAGGUAUGAGCCCCUGGAUCUGGAGAGUCAUCCAGAUGAUUUAGAAGAAAAUUAUCUGUCCAUUGAGCCUCCCAAUUAUGAUUCAUGUCUGAGAAGGAUUACCACCUGUAACAUCAAAAGGAAAGAAGGAUAAUCAUGGUGACUUCAACUUGCCAGACAUCUGCUGGGAACUUAAUACAGAAGAAAAAAGGCAGUCCAGGAAAUUUUUA